GACGAACGCUGGCGGCAUGCCUAACACAUGCAAGUCUAGGGGUAGCAAUACCACUGGCGCACGGGUGAGUAACACGUAGGUUAUCUGCCCCCAUCACAGACAUAACCCCGGGAAACCGGGGCUAAUAUCUGAUGAGGUCGCGAGAUCAAAGCUUCGGCGGAUGGGGAUGAGCCUGCGGCUGAUUAGCUAGUUGGUGAGGUAAUGGCUCACCAAGGCGACGAUCAGUAGCUGGUCUGAGAGGAUGAUCAGACACACUGGAACUGAGACACGGUCCAGACUCCUACGGGAGGCAGCAGUGGGGAAUUUUCCGCAAUGGGCGAAAGCCUGACGGAGCAAUACCGCGUGAGGGAUGACGGCCUAUGGGUUGUAAACCUCUUUUUUCAGGGAGGAAUCAAUGACGUUACCUGAAGAAUAAGCAUCGGCUAACUCUGUGCCAGCCGCCGCCGUAAAAC
rnacentral:rRNA from 1 species